UACAGAGGGUGCAAGCGUUAAUCGGAAUUACUGGGCGUAAAGCGUGCGUAGACGGUUGCGUAAGUCAGAUGUGAAAGCCCCGGGCUCAACCUGGGAAUUGCAUUUGAGACUGCGUAGCUAGGGUGCGGAAGAGGGAGCGGAAUUCCGGUGUAGCGGUGAAAUGCGUAGAUAUCGGAAGGAACACCAGUGGCGAAAGCGGCUUCCUGGUCCAGCACCGACGUCAGGCACGAAAGCGUGGGGAGCAAACAGG
rnacentral:rRNA from 1 species